GCGACAGGCCUAACACAUGCAAGUCGAGGGCGAGCACAAGGAGCAAUCUGAGGUGGCGACCGGCGCACGGGUGAGUAACACGUAUGCAACCUGCCUGUAAGCGGGGAAUAACCCGUUGAAAGACGGACUAAUACCGCAUAAUACUAAAUUACUGCAUGGUAAUUUAUUUAAACAUUUAUGGCUUACAGAUGGGCAUGCGCAUGAUUAGCUAGUUGGAGAGGUAACGGCUCCCCAAGGCAACGAUCAUUAGGGGUUCUGAGAGGAAGGUCCCCCACACUGGUACUGAGACACGGACCAGACUCCUACGGGAGGCAGCAGUGAGGAAUAUUGGUCAAUGGACGAGAGUCUGAACCAGCCAAGUCGCGUGCAGGAAGAAUGUCCCUAUGGAUUGUAAACUGCUUUUGCAGGGGAAUAAAGUGCAUCACGUGUGAUGUUUUGUAUGUACUCUGCGAAUAAGGAUCGGCUAACUCCGUGCCAGCCGCCGC
rnacentral:rRNA from 1 species